CUUUUCCAGCAUCCUGCGCUGUACCCGGAAGCAGCAUGUGUGGUGACGGAGGACAGAAACACGUGGUUUUGAUAAGGACAUAAGUAGAGCCGCAGCCUCAUUAACAGUCUCUCUCUCGUGUUGCGGUGUUGGGGGAAGCAUGUGUCGCGGUCCACCUUCACGCAUGGAGCCCCGUGAAUGAGCCUGGAGAGACUGGAGACAUAUCUGUAAGGUAAUUGGGACUUGGUGUGAGCACUGUCCUGUAGAUCAGGGGGUUCUAAAUUUGCAUAUUUUUCUUAAUUAAAAAAAGUCAUGCAUUUAAAUGUGAAAAAACAUUACAAAUUUAAAAAAGUCCUUAGUUUUCUCCCUGUCUUUGUUGCCAGUUAUUGAACAAAAGCAUCUGUAGCAGCAGGUUCAUUCAUAACAGCACUGCAGUCACAUGUGCAUGUAGGUAGGCUAGUUUUCUGAAGACUAGCUAAAUUAAGCAACUUUUAAUCACUUUGGGAACCUCCUGCUGUAGAUCACCAAAAUCUGGACUCUGUUAUAAAGAUCUAAGUUAAAUGAAUUUCCACAAUUCAAUUGCAUGCAAGUUUAAACUAUCUGUAAUUACAUUAAAAAUAAGACUUGUAUUUAAACUUAUGUGCAUGUUAAAGGUCCAAAUAAGAGUGUAACAGUGUACACGUGUGAACUGAAUGCCAAAAGCAAUAAAGCUAAACUUUGUCAA